ensembl:lncRNA
GGGUAUAAUUUGGUACUGAAGGUGGAGUGGAAAGAAUGAACUAUGUCAGAUUGUAUUUUCCAAAGAUGGUCACAAUAUUCCCAUCUUGUGUUUUCUUUUACAAUGUGACCAUGCCUCUCCCUCAUCAAGAGGUGGAGUCUAGUUUCCCUCCCUUUGAAUCUGGGUAGCUUGUGACUGCUUCCACCAGCAAAGAAGGGUAGAAGUGACAUCAUGUGAUUUCCAAGGCUGAGUCACAAAAAGUGAUGUAGCUGGAGCUCUGAACUUUCAUGAGGCAGCCAUGCCAUGAGGAAGGUCACAUGUUGAGGAUGCUGCCACAGCAUGGCCUGACAAGUGGUGUGUAGGUCCAUGCCCAGCACCUGAACCGACGAACCCUGGGCCGCCGAAGCAGAACAUGCCAACUUAACCACUCGACCACAGAGCUGGCCCUUUGUGAUCUUUUUAAUAUCUGCCUGAAUAGAAGACAGCUGAAUUUUCAUAUCUCUUCUGCAUUUAGUCUACUGUUAUAUAUUGCUUUGGUUGAAGGAGGUGAAGGAAAAUCAGCCUCACAGAGACAUGUAGGAAAAGGGACUUCCUCAGAGACCCCUUGAAGGGAUCUUGGGGGCCCCCAAGGAUCCUCAGACCACACUUUGGAAAUUGCUGAUUUAAAUUCAUAAAACUGGAUGAAAUCCCUAAGGGAGAAGAGAAGAGACCCAAGGACUCAGCCCCGGGCGUAGAGAUUUCAAGAGACCAGGGAGAUGGAGACAAACCAGCAAAGGAGACUGAGGUAGGAGGAAAACCAAGAGGUGGUGACCUGGAAGCCAAGCGGAGAAGGGUUUGUGCGUGUGUAUGCUGGUAGACCCUGAAUGGAGUGAGUAUUCCCACUGCCAAUUGUGCUGGGAUAGAAAAUCAGGCCAUAUUGGAGGCAGGCCUUAGAGGGAGGAACAUCUUUAAUGUUUAGAGGAGUUGUUGGGGUGGGAGAGGUUAGCUGGGCCCUGCCACAGGUGGGCAAGCAGGAGCUGGGCAGGGAGGUGAUUUAUAAGCAUCCCUGACAAGGAAUCUAGGCCUCAGAGCUUUGAGCUUAAAUGCUACCAGACACCUUCUAUCUGCAGUCCUUCCCUUCGAUUAACACCAAGUGCUUUAACAAAUUGUGAGAUUUAAGAGGAAGGGCAAGUUUGAGCUUAGGAUGGAGCAGCAUUGAGAAGGCUGAUUCCCCACUCCUUCAUCCUUGUUCCAGUCCCUCCAAGCCAGACUGAUGGACAAGCCAGUGGCCUGAGGGAGGUGGCACAACCUGGGGCUGCAGGUGGAGACCGAAGAAGAUUCAUUGCAGUGUCUUGGCACAGGGACAACAGCAGGGUGCCUUCACAAGGAAGACCAGGGAGAAGAACUCAGCAGCCCUGGUCCUGAGCUCACAUUGACAGCUCUUCUGUGAGGGGCUGAGUCAUGUGGAGCUUGGCAUCCCCACUCUCUGGUAACCCAUCACUGUAUGACCUUGUGAAGUAGCCUCAGGCCAGAGUGGCCAGGGCAGCACUGGGAGUUCCUAAGAUGGAGACAGGGCAGCAGCAUUUCCCCAGCUGAUCUCCCCUGUGAACUGCUGGUCUAGAGGCACGUUAAGGGAUUGGUAUUCCAGGAAACACAUGCUGAUUCAUGCAGAUAUAAAACCAGAGGAGAUGGAAGGGACCUCUGAGGAUAUGUUGGUUCACUGGUUCUCAUCUGGGGGCAUUGGAAUCACCUGGGUACUUGAAAAUACAGAGCCUUGGGCCCCAUCCAGACCUACUGAAUUAGAAUCUCUGAUGACGGUGAGGGUCUGGCAUGCAUAUUAUUAUUACUUUUUUUUUUUUUUUGAGGAAGAUUAGCCCUGAGCUAACAUCUGCUGCCAAUCCUCCUCUUUUUGCUGAGAAAGACUGGCCCUGAGCUAACAUCUGUGCCCACCUUCCUCUACUUUAUAUGUGGGACGUCUACCACAGCACGGCUUGCCAAGCGGUGCCAUGUCCGCACCUGGGAUCUGAACCGGCGAACCCCGGGCACUGAAGCAGAACGUGCG